GAUGAAGAACGUAGCGAAAUGCGAUAAGUAAUGUGAAUUGCAGAAUCCAGUGAAUCAUCGAAUCUUUGAACGCACAUUGCGCCCGCCAGUAUUCUGGCGGGCAUGCCUGUUCGAGCGUCAUUUCAACCCUCAAGACCCCUUCGGGGGACUUGGUGUUGGGGACCGGCACAGGGGCCUGCCUGCUUGUCUUGCAGCGCCCUCGCCGCCCCCGAAAUGAAUUGGCGGCCUCGUCGCGGCCUCCCCUGCGUAGUAGCACAACCUCGCAACGGGAACGUGACGGCGGCCACUGCCGUAAAACAACCCCAAUUUUAUUAGAGUUGACCUCGAAUCAGGUAGGAAUACCCGCUGAACUUAAGCAUAUCAAUAAGCGGAGGA
rnacentral:misc_RNA from 1 species